rnacentral:ncRNA from 1 species
CAGUCGGUGCAAGUCCGACUGAGGUAAUCGCCAGUGAGCCGUAUAGUCAAACUCGGUGCGUUGCAGUAGUGCAGGGUGCUAAGCGAGUGGGUAUUGUAACUUCAAAAGAAGUGCUAACAAUCAUGCAGACCGUAACAUAA